UCCUCUCUUCUCUGCCUUCUCUCUACCAAAAGAGAAAAUCCUAAACCACUAUUCUCUAUUGCAGAAUCCAAACCCAGGUCAAAUUCAGAAUCUCUCCUCUUAGCUUCAACUCAUCCUUCUUCUCCAUUUCUCUAAGUGAUACAGCUGAAGUUGUGAGUGGGAGGACCCUAGUUAUUAGAAAGAUAUAUCGAGAGCGGAAACCAGAUGGAGAUGCCCCCUCUUGAGUGGGAGUUGGAGCCUGAUAAGGAUUUCCUCUAUGGUUUAAACCUUCACUGUACAUUUUGAGGUUUUGGAUGUAGUUUAUCAUCCUUUCUAUCUACUCUUACCUUAUGUAUACGUGCUUAUAGAUGUAGAAGUAUGGAAGACUGUACUAAAUAGUUAAACUGUGUGUG